CCUACGGGAGGCAGCAGUGAGGAAUAUUGGUCAAUGGGCGCGAGCCUGAACCAGCCAAGUAGCGUGAAGGAUGACUGCCCUACGGGUUGUAAACUUCUUUUAUAAAGGAAUAAAGUGAUGCACGUGUGCCUUUCUGUAUGUACCUUAUGCAUAAGGAUCGACUAACUCCGUGCCCGCAGCCGCGGUAAUACGGAGGAUCCGAGCGUUAUCCGGAUUUAUUGGGUUUAAAGGGAGCGUAGACGGGUUGUUAAGUCAGUUGUGAAAGUUUGCGGCUCAAACGUAAGAUUGCAAUUGAUACUGGCAGCCUUGAGUACAGUUGAGGUAGGCGGAAUUCGUGGUGUAGCGGUGAAAUGCUUAGAUAUCACGAAGAACUCCGAUGGCGAAGGCAGCCUACUAAACUGCCACUGACAUUGAUGCUCGAAAGUGUGGGUAUCAAACAGGAUUAGAUACCCUUGUAGUC
rnacentral:rRNA from 1 species